CAGCAGCCGCGGUAAUACGAAGGUCUCAAGCGUUGUUCGGAUUUACUGGGCGUAAAGAGUCUGUAGGCUGUUUUGUAAGUCAGGUGUGAAAUCCCGGGGCUCAACCCCGGAACUGCACCCGAUACUGCAAGACUAGAGUAUUGGAGAGGAGUCUGGAAUUCUCGGUGUAGCAGUGAAAUGCGUAGAUAUCGAGAGGAACACUAGUGGCGAAGGCGAGACUCUGGACAAUUACUGACGCUGAGAGACGAAGGCCAGGGGAGCGAAAAGGAUUAGAUACCCUUGUAGUCCUGGCAGUAAACGGUGCACGCUUGGUGUAGGAGGACUCGACCCCUUCUGUGCCGGAGCUAACGCGUUAAGCGUGCCGCCUGGGGAGUACGGUCGCAAGAUUAAAACUCAAAGAAAUUGACGGGGACCCGCACAAGCCGUGGAGCAUGUGGCUUAAUUCGAUGCAACGCGAAGAACCUUACCUGGGCUUGACAUGUUAGUCGUAGACUUAUGAAAGUUUGUGGUCACUUCGGGUGGACUAUCACAGGUGCUGCAUGGCUGUCGUCAGCUCGUGUCGUGAGAUGUUGGGUUAAGUCCCGUAACGAGCGCAACCCCUAUGAACUGUUGCCAGCGGGUAAUGCCGGGGACUCUGUUCAGACUGCCCAGAUUAACUGGGAGGAAGGAGGGGAUGACGUCAAGUCAGUAUGGCCCUUACGCCCAGGGCUGCACACGUGCUACAAUGUCCAGUACAAUAUGAUCCGAGACCGCGAGGUGGAGGAAAUCUCUAAAACUGGGCUCAGUUCGGAUUGUAGGCUGCAACUCGCCUACAUGAAGUUGGAAUCGCUAGUAAUGGUGCAUCAGCUACGGCAUCGUGAAUACGUUCCCGGGUCUUGUACACACCGCCCGUCAAGUCAUGGAAGCCGCUCGCACCCGAAGUAUGCCCAAUAAAGAGCAAUGGUAUCGGGCUCCUAAGGUGUGAGUGGUGACUGGGACUAAGUCGUAACAAGGUA
rnacentral:rRNA from 1 species